UGCAAAGGAUGAACUGCACAUUGUUGA
rnacentral:piRNA from 1 species